UGUUGACGUAUUCUGAAAGGGAUACUUCUUCGGACAAUAUACAAGGUGCUGCAUGGUUGUCGUCAGCUCGUGCCGUGAGGUGUCGGGUUAAGUCCCAUAACGAGCGCAACCCCUAUCAUUUAGUUGCCAUCAGGUCAAGCUGGGGACUCUAAUGAAACUGCCUACGCAAGUAGUGAGGAAGGUGGGGAUGACGUCAAAUCAGCACGGCCCUUACGUCCAGGGCUACACACGUGCUACAAUGGCCGGUACAGAGCGCAGCGAAGCCGCGAGGCAAAGCGAAUCGCAAAAAGCCGGUCUCAGUACGGAUUGGAGUCUGAAACUCGACUCCAUGAAGUUGGAAUCGCUAGUAAUCGCGCAUCAGCAUGGCGCGGUGAAUACGUUCCCGGGCCUU
rnacentral:rRNA from 1 species